rnacentral:lncRNA from 1 species
UUUGGGGUGUUACAGGUUCACACGCCAGCGGCGCGGCGGCGCGAGGAAAGGGCGUAGCUCCGUAGAUAGCGCCCUACCCCAGAGACCGAGAUAGCAGCACCCUGAGUCGGCUUAGCUUAGGGUUUUUAUAAGUUAAAGAACAAACUUGUAUUAAGUAUUGUAAUAAUCGGAUUGUAUUUUGGAAGUUUAAGGUAAUCAAAUUGUAUUAUGUGGACUUUGAGAAUGAAUGUUUGUAAUAGCAAGUAGUUUUAUAUUUUUGGUA